rnacentral:tRNA from 1 species
GUCGUGGUAGCCAAGUCUGGUCCAAGGCGCAGGGUUGCUAACCCUGUGGCGAUUUCCGCCUCCGGGGUUCAAAUCCCCGCCGCGACG